rnacentral:rRNA from 1 species
AUUGAACGCUGGCGGCAGGCCUAACACAUGCAAGUCGAACGAGUGGCGGACGGGUGAGUAAUGUCUGGGAAACUGCCCGAUGGAGGGGGAUAACUACUGGAAACGGUAGCUAAUACCGCAUACCAUCGGAUGUGCCCAGAUGGGAUGAGCUAGUAGGUGGGGGAACGGCUCACCUAGGCGAAGAUCCCUAGCUGGUCUUAGAGGAUGACCAGCCACACGGGAAGUGAGACACGUUCCAGACUCCUACGGGAGGCGGCUGUGGGUAAUAGUGCACAAGGGGCGCAAGCCUGAUGCAGCCAUGCCGGGUGUAUGAAGAAGGCCUUCGGGUUGGAAAGUAAUUUCAGCGAGGAGGCGUUACUCGCAGAAGAAGCACCGGCUAACUCCGUGCCAGCAGCCGCGGUAAUAC